GAUGCACGCUAGCUACAGGCUUAACACAUGCAAGUCGAGGGACCGGAACACGGGUGUGUAACACGUAUCAAACCCGCCCUUUACUCGAGGAUAGCCUUUCGAAGGAAAGAUUAACCCCCGAUAUAAUGGCUGGGGAUGCGUUCCAUUAGGUUGUGGGUGAGGUACCGGCUCACCAAGCCUUCGAUGGAUAGGUGUGCUGUGAGGAAGGACCCCCACAAGGGAGCUGAGGCAAGGUCCAAACUCGUACGGGAGGCAGCAGUGAGGAAUAUUGGUCAAGAGGCGCUAGCCUGAACCAGCCAAGUAGCGUGAAGGAUGAAGGCUUAUGGGUCGUAAACUUCUUUUAUAUAAGAAUAUGUAUUAUAUGAAUAAGGAUCGGCUAACUCCGUGCCAGCAGCCGCGGUAAUUC
rnacentral:rRNA from 1 species